GAUAUAUCGGAGCAGUGGUCUUACCUUGGGCAAAUGAGGAAGAACGACUGGCAGGAGGAAACACGUACCAUUGCUGAUCAUGGUCAUCACAUCACAGCCUGUUAAACCUGUUCUCCCCUGGAAUUGGAAACAUUUUACGUCUCACAUGAAAACCAACCUGUUUGUCUUAUUAGUCACCACUGCCUAUUCAGAGGUUUUCCCUGCAGGAAGAAAAGAUUGUUCAACUUAAAUCAGUCUAUACCUGCUUACUAGCUGGAAUCACUAUAUUUACAAGAUCUACAGCAAUAAAAAAAACUUUUAUAGUAUGAUUUAUUGUUAGAUACCCAGCACAAAGACUAAUCAUUCUUUAUGAGGCAAUUAUGGAAAGUUUUUUAAUAAUUGGCAAUCAUUUCUAAUAUUUCACAUUUUUUUUGUAAAUGUCACCACUCCUCCUCUCCUUUUUUUACCUUAUUUUUUCCUUCUCUCUACGUACACCUCCGCAUUUAGUCAUUAGCUAUUAUUAAUCUCCAACUCUCUUACACAGUGUGCCCUUUGUCCUGUCUUCCUCUCCUCACUCCCUCGCUCGCAGCAGACGGCUGCCCCUCCCUGAGUCUGGUUCUGCUGCAGGUUUCUUCCUGUUAAAAGGGAGUUUUUAUAUAUGCUCUAAGACAACCGGUGCUUUUCUGGUUUUCUUUUCCUUCUUUCUUUUUUUUUUCAUUUUUUCCCCAAAGCUUUGGAAAGAUAGUAACUGGACUGGUUUUUAUAAAGCGCUUUUCUACUCCACUGGAGUACUCAAAGUUUUAUACAACUGCCUCAUUCAGCCAGGCAGUCGAGCAUAUUUGGCAGUUACACAUCCACCAGCAGCCUGAACUGUUGGUACUUGGCAGAAUGGAUCCAUUUUUCUCAUCCUAUCGUCUGAAAGUUGUAACAGAAAUUGAGACCCAUCAGACCAGGAAAUGUUUUUUCUAAUCUUUUAUUGUCCACUUUUAAAGAAUGUAUCGUCAGUUUCCUGUUCUUAGCAGACAGAAGUGAUGCGGUCUUCUGCUGCAUUUAGAGAUGCUCUUCUGCGUACCUUGGUUGUAUGUAGUGGUUAUCUGAGUUACUUUUGCUUCUGUUCAUCUCAGAGGAGUCUGGCCAUUCUCCUCUGACCUCUGACAUCAACAUGCAUUUUCACCCAGAGAGCUGCAGCUCACUGGAUAUUCUCUCUUUUUCUGACCACUCUCUGCAAACCCUACAGAUGGUUGUGGUGAAUAAUCUCUGUAGAUGACCAUUUUCUGAAAUUCCCAGACCACCCUGUCUUGCACUAUGACAAUAAGUGCCACAUCAAAUAACUUAAAUCACUUCUCGUCCCCAUUCUGAUGGUCACUUUGAACCUCAGCUGGAUACUCUGCACACCUAAAUGCAUGUGAACAGUGAAUGGAUGUGCAUUAUUAUUA
ensembl:lncRNA